GUGAAAUUGUUGAAAGGGAAGCGCUUGCAACCAGACCUGCCUGCAGUUGCUCAUCCGGGCUUUUGCCCGGUGCACUCUUCUGCUGUCAGGCCAGCAUCAGUUCGGGCGGUCGGAUAAAGGCUUCGGGAAUGUAGCUCCUCUCGAGGAGUGUUAUAGCCCGUUGCGAAAUGCGGCCAGCCUGAACUGAGGUCCGCGCUUCGGCUAGGAUGCUGGCGUAAUGGUUGUAAGCGGCCCGUCUUGAAACACGGACCAAGGAGUCUAACAUCUGUGCGAGUGUUUGGGUGUCAAACCCGUACGCGUAAUGAAAGUGAACGGAGGCGGGAACCCCUCGGGGUGCACCGUCGACCGAUCCUGAUGUCUUCGGAUGGAUUUGAGUAAGAGCAUAGCUGUUGGGACCCGAAAGAUGGUGAACUAUGCCUGAAUAGGGUGAAGCCAGAGGAAACUCUGGUGGAGGCUCGCAGCGGUUCUGACGUGCAAAUCGAUCGUCAAAUUUGGGCAUAGGGGCGAAAGACUAAUCGAACUAUCUAGUAGCUGGUUCCUGCCGAAGUUUCCCUCAGGAUAGCAGUAACGUUUUCAGUUUUAUGAGGUAAAGCGAAUGAUUAGAGGCCUGGGGGUUGAAACAACCUUCACCUAUUCUCAAACUUUAAAUAUGUAAGAAGUCCUUGUUGCUUAGUUGAACGUGGACAUUUGAAUGUAUCGUUACUAGUGGGCCAUUUUUGGUAAGCAGAACUGGCGAUGCGGGAUGAACCGAACGCGGAGUUAAAGUGCCGGAAUGCACGCUCAUCAGACACCACAAAAGGUGUUGGUUCAUCUAG
rnacentral:rRNA from 1 species